rnacentral:piRNA from 1 species
UGCUAUCUAUAUACUAUGGGUGCUUUGGA